GGUCAAGCUACUAAGAGCUUACGUGUGGAUGACUUGGCACGAGAAGGCGAAGAAGGACGCGGCAAGCGGCGAUACGCUCCGGGGAGUCGCAAACAGACUUUGAUCCGGGGACUUCCGAAUGGGGGAACCCCAUGCGGGUAAUACCGCAUGAUCCGGCGCUGAAUCCAUAGGCGACGGAAGCUGAACCGGGAGAAGUGAAACAUCUCAGUAACCCGAGGAAAAGAAAAAGACAUUGAUUUCCCAAGUAGCGGCGAGCGAACGGGAAACAGCCUAAACCUCCGGUGCUUGCAUCGGAGGGGUUGCGGGACCGCGAUGUGGGAUUGCUAAAGGAUAGUAGAAGGACUUGGAAACGUCCGCCAAAGAAGGUGAUAGCCCUGUAUACGGCAUCUGGAGGCACCCUAGCGGUAUCCCAAGUAAUGCGGGACACGUGAAACCCCGUAUGAAUCCGGCCUGACCACGGGCUAAGGCUAAAUACUCACUCGUGACCGAUAGCGCACAAGUACCAUGAGGGAAAGUUGAAAAGAACCCUUUUAAAGGGAGUGAAAUAGUACCUGAAACCGUAAGCUUACAAGCGGUGGGAGCACUAUGGCCCGCAAGGGCAAUGUGUGACCGCGUGCCUUUUGGUUAAUGAUCCGGCGAGUUGCUGGGCGUUGCGAGGUUAAGGCGUUCUUGCGCCGUAGCCGUAGCGAAAGCGAGUCUGAAUAGGGCGAUUUAGUAACGUCAAGCAGACCCGAAUGCCAGGUGAUCUACCCUUGGCCAGCGCGAAAGUUGGGUAAAACCAGCUGGAGGUGCGAACCCGUUAACGUUGAAAAGUUAUGGGAUGAGCUGAGGGUCGGAGUGAAAGGCUAAUCAAACUUGGUUAUUGCUGGUUCUCCCCGAAAUAGCUUUAGGGCUAGGCUGGUGUCAUAGUUGGUGGAGGUAAAGUACUCGAUGGGCUAAGAGCCUUACCGGGUUUCUGAACCCAACGAAACUCUGAAUGCUACCAACCGUAUCACUGGACUCAGAAAGCGCGGGCUAAGCUGCGUUCUCAAAAGGGAAACAGCCCAGACCGACAGCUAAGGUUCCUAAAUCCAUGCUAAGUGGUAAAGGAUGUGAGAUUUCUUAGACAACCAGGAUGUUGGCUUAGAGGCAGCCAUCAUUUAAAGAGUGCGUAACAGCUCACUGGUCGAGUGGUCUCGCGCCGAAAAUGAUCGGAGCUAAGCAUGGUACCGAAGCUUCGGAUUUGCGAAUGUCUUCGGACAUUCCAAGUGGUAGGGGAGCGUUCUAUUGUACUGUGAAGGCAGACUGAGAAGACUGCUGGAGGACUUAGAAGCGAUUAUGCCGGAAUAAGUAGCGCAAAAAUCCGCGAGAAACGGAUUCGCCGUAAACCUAAGGUUUCCUGGGGAAGGUUAAUCCACCCAGGGUUAGUCGAUCCUAAGCCGAGGCCGAAAGGCGUAGGUGAUGGAAAAUCUGUUUAAUAUUCAGAUACCACCCGUUACGCGUUAUCAGCUACGGAGUGACGCAGGAGGUAAGAGAAUCGACCGGUUGGAUGUGGUCGUCUAAGGUUGUAGGUCUUAACAGACUGAGAGCCGAAUGGGAGCCCAAGCUACGGUGCGGGCGAACUUCUCUGGUCCACACUGCCGAGAAAAACCUCUGUAGUGAGUUUGGCGGGUGAUCGUACCGCAAACCGACACAGGUAGGUGGGGAGAAUAUCCUCAGGCGCUCGAACUAAGGGUCGUUAAGGAACUAGGCAAAAUAGCCCCGUAACUUCGGAAGAAGGGGUGCUCCAUUAGGGUCAAGUAAAUUCUUAUGUAGCCCGAAGGAGUGACACUAAAGUGGGUUCUGUGACUGUUUAGCAAAAACACAUGACUCUGCUAACUCGUAAGAGGAUGUAUAGGGUCUGACACCUGCCCGGUGCCGGAAGGUUAAAAGGAGGGGUCACUGGUCGCAAGACUGGAAAGCUCUGACUUGAAGCCCCGGUAAACGGCGGCCGUAACUAUAACGGUCCUAAGGUUAACGUGUAACGCUAGCCUGCUUUAGCAGUAAUGCUAAAGGUAAAACCAACUGUAUGCGGGAAACUCCUCAAUACAGAUGCUGAUACUAGCUUGGCUGUAAAGCCGGAGCAGUAAAAAUGCGGCAUACAUGGGGACAAUCCGCAGGGAAGUCAUGAAGGAGGUAAAAUGACCCCUCAGAGACCAGACGUUGGGAAUCCUGCCUAUUCCGAGAAGCUCACUUCCGAAUGGAUAACCGGAUUUAUAGACGGCGAAGGAUGUUUUCAUGUGGGAAUAAGUAAACAUCCGGAGCUGAGAUUCGGUUAUCAAAUCUUACCGGAACUCACCGUGGUGCAGCACAAGCGCGACAUAGGCCUGCUUCAUAGGAUAAGGUCAACAAUCGGUUGCGGUGUCGUGCGACGUAAUCACGGAGGUCGGUACUGCUGGCGGGUUCGGGAUUUGAAAAAUCUCGCAGAAGUCAUAAUACCGUUCUUCGAGGCGCACCCUCUGAGGUCUAAGAAGGCAGUUGA
rnacentral:rRNA from 1 species